GAGUUUGAUCCUGGCUCAGAACGAACGUUGGCGGCGUGGAUAAGGCAUGCAAGUCGGACGAUCUUUUUGGGUCUCGAGGCCGCAAGGCCGAGAGACUUGAUUUGAUAGUGGCAAAAGGGUGAGUAACGCGUGGGUAAUCUACCUUUGAGUUUGGGAUAACAUUCCGAAAGGGGUGCUAAUACCGAAUAAGACCACGAUCUCGUAAGAAAUCGUGGUAAAAGAUGGGGACCUUCACACCAAUUUGAUAAGCAGAGCGUGAGUUUGUCAAAUUGGUGUGGGGGCCUAUCACUUGAAGAGGAGCCCGCGUCCUAUCAGCUUGUUGGCGGGGUAAUGGCCCACCAAGGCUACGACGGGUAGCUGGUCUGAGAGGAUGGUCAGCCACACUGGGACUGAGACACUGCCCAGACUCCUACGGGAGGCUGCAGUCGAGAAUCUUUCGCAAUGGGCGCAAGCCUGACGAUGCGACGCCGCGUGAGCGAUGAAGGCCUUCGGGUUGUAAAGCUCUGUCACGUGGGACGAACGUCCUGAUGGCGAAUAGCCUGAUGGGUUGACUGUACCACGAGAGGAAGCCAUGGCUAACUCCGUGCCAGCAGCCGCGGUAAGACGGAGAUGGCAAACGUUGUUCGGAUUCAUUGGGUGUAAAGGGUAUGUAGGUGGCCUAGUAAGUCGGAUGUGAAAUCCUUUGGCUCAACCAAAGAACUGCAUUCGAAACUGCCUGGCUUGAGUUUCGGAGAGGAGAGUGGAAUUCCCGGUGUAAGAGUGAAAUCUGUAGAUAUCGGGAGGAACACCAAUGGCGAAAGCAACUCUCUGGCCGGAAACUGACACUGAAAUACGAAAGCUAGGGGAGCGAACAGGAUUAGAUACCCUGGUAGUCCUAGCCGUAAACGAUGAGCACUAGGUGUGGGGGCCUCUGGUCUCUGUGCCGCAGUUAACACAUUAAGUGCUCCACCUGGGGACUACGGCCGCAAGGUUGAAACUCAAAGAAAUUGACGGGGACCCGCACAAGCGGUGGAGCAUGUGGUUUAAUACGACGCUACGCGUGGAACCUUACCAGGACUUGAAAAGUGCAUGAAAUCCAGAUGAAAGUUUGGACCUCCUUUCCGGGACAUGCAUACAGGUGUUGCAUGGCUGUCGUCAGCUCGUGUCGUGAGAUGUUGGGUUAAGUCCCGCAACGAGCGCAACCAUCGUCCUUAGUUGCCAUCGGUUCGGCCGGGCACUCUAGGGAGACUGCCGGCGAUAAGCUAGAGGAAGGUGGAGAUGACGUCAAGUCGGUACGGCCCUUACGUCCUGGGCUACACACGUGCUACAAUGGCUGGUACAAUGGGCAGCAAUACCGUAAGGUGGAGCUAAUCCUAAAAGCCGGCCUCAGUUCGGAUUGAGGGCUGCAACUCGCCCUCAUGAAGCUGGAAUCGCUAGUAAUGGCACAUCAGCCACGGUGCCGUGAAUACGUUCCCGGGUCUUGCACAC
rnacentral:rRNA from 1 species